rnacentral:misc_RNA from 1 species
GGCGGUCGUAUCUCCAGCAUGUUCCAUAACGAUUCAACCCCUAAACCUUUCUCCUUCUCGGUCUUUUGCUUGGAACUCUUCUCUUCGCGUUGGAUUCUCAAGUACAAAACCUGCAUAUUUAACAUUCUUAAAAUCCACCUCUGACGACUAUCAGCCUCAAAGGAAACUCGCAGUAUCUGCUACGUCCGCUGAUAAUCAUAGCAACAUCUCUAACACGGCUUUCUCCGCUAAUGGCCCUGCUCCGUCAAUGUCCAUUUCAAAGGUGAGGAGGCAUACAAUCUCCGUGUUUGUGGGGGAUGAAAGUGGGAUGAUUAAUCGGAUUGCUGGGGUUUUUGCGAGGAGGGGGUAUAACAUUGAGUCCCUUGCUGUUGGUCUGAACAAGGACAAGGCACUCUUCACCAUAGUCGUCUCUGGAACUGAAAGGGUGCUGCAACAAGUUGUAGAGCAACUUCAGAAACUAGUCAAUGUUUUGAAGGUUGAAGAUCUCUCCAGUGAGCCACAGGUAGAACGUGAGCUAAUGCUUAUAAAAGUGAAUGCAGACCGUAAUUACCGUCCUGAGAUCAUGUGGUUGGUGGACAUUUUCAGAGCAAAAAUUGUGGAUAUCUCAGAGCACUCUUUAACAAUUGAGGUAACUGGAGAUCCUGGGAAGAUGGUUGCUGUUCAGAGAAACCUAAGCAAGUUUGGAAUCAAAGAAAUUGCAAGAACUGGAAAGAUUGCAUUGAGAAGGGAAAAAAUGGGUGCAUGUGCUCCCUUUUGGCGAUUUUCAGCUGCUUCAUAUCCUGAUCUUGGAGAAAUAAGGCCUAAUGAUGCUCUUUUGGGGUCUAAAAGCAGAGCAGUCAUAGGCGAAGAAACAUCUGCAGGGGGGGAUGUUUAUCCAGUGGAACCAUCUGAUAGCUUUACAGGCACUCAAGUUCUUGAUGCUCAUUGGGGUGUUCUCGAUGAAGAUGAUACAACUGGACUUCGAUCUCACACUCUCUCCAUGCUGGUGACCGACUCUCCUGGAGUUCUUAACAUUGUUACAGGAGUAUUUGCUCGAAGAGGCUAUAACAUUCAGAGUUUGGCCGUUGGGCAUGGAGAAACUGAGGGCCUUUCUCGAAUAACAACUGUUGUUCCUGGAACAGAUGAAUCAAUAAGCAAGUUGGUGCAGCAACUUUAUAAGCUGAUAGACCUUCAUGAGGUUCAGGAUCUUACUCACUUGCCAUUUGCUGAACGGGAAUUGAUGUUGAUAAAGAUUGCUGUGAAUGCUGCUGCUAGACGAGAUGUCCUUGACAUUGCUAGCAUUUUUAGGGCAAAAGCAGUUGAUGUAUCUGACCACACAAUAACCCUUGAGCUUACUGGAGAUUUGGACAAGAUGGUUGCACUGCAGAGGUUGUUAGAACCCUAUGGCAUUUGUGAG